UACGAAGGGGGCUAGCGUUGCUCGGAAUUACUGGGCGUAAAGGGCUCGUAGGCGGCCAACUAAGUCGGACGUGAAAUCCCUCGGCUUAACCGGGGAACUGCGUCCGAUACUGGAUGGCUUGAGUUUGGGAGAGGGAUGCGGAAUUCCAGGUGUAGCGGUGAAAUGCGUAGAUAUCUGGAGGAACACCGGUGGCGAAGGCGGCAUCCUGGACCAACACUGACGCUGAUGAGCGAAAGCCAGGGGAGCAAACGGG
rnacentral:rRNA from 1 species